CCUCUAGCGCUGCUGAGGAGCUGCCGCCGCGGCUCGAGGAGGGCGGAGGAACGGGGCUGAGAGAGAGCGCCUGGAGGCUCGCGGGGAGGGGGAAAGCCGCGCCCGCAGUCCCCCACUACCAUAAAUUACACAGUCGAGUUUCCCCUAUUUGAGGAAAUUGCAGAGGUCAACACGGAGUGCAAUGGGUGAGCCUCGCCCUGGGAGAACCACCUUCUUGAUAAUGGUAUCUCCUCUGCCAGCAUAAGCGCGACAUGCAGACAUGCAGUCCACUGCAGCUGGGGCAUUCCGGUCGUUUAUGGAUGAGGCUCAGGACGGAGGCUGCGUGGCCUGCCCGUGGAGAGUGGAGGAAGGAGUCACGCCUUUAUUUACCACGGAAAGUGGACUUUUUUCCCCGCCACCUUCUGGCCUCACUGGCCUUCCUCGAGGUAGGUUCGGGCUCUCCCGGAGGCGGCUUCAUCUUGGUCGCUGUCCACUGGGGCCGGUGGUGAUGGGCUAUAAGACCUGCGGACGAGCUUCCCAGGGAGGGUGGGGAUCGUGUAAGCAACUUUAGAAGUGUAACCCUCAGAGUCCGGUCGGGACGGUGUAAAGGACGCGACCCCGGACCCCGGGCCGGAUACGCUUACGCUGCCCACCCUGGCAGGUCGGUGGGCCACCCGCAAGGGCGGGAGCUUGGAGCCCGCGUCUGAUCUGUCACUUUGGCCCAAAGGGGCCGAGGACGCGCCUCCGCGCACGCACGC